GAUGAACGCUGGCGGCGUGCCUAAUACAUGCAAGUAGAACGCUGAAGCUUGGUGCUUGCACCGAGCGGAUGAGUUGCGAACGGGUGAGUAACGCGUAGGUAACCUGCCUCUUAGCGGGGGAUAACUAUUGGAAACGAUAGCUAAUACCGCAUAAAAGUCGAUAUCGCAUGAUAUUGAUUUGAAAGGUGCAAAUGCAUCACUAAGAGAUGGACCUGCGUUGUAUUAGCUAGUUGGUGAGGUAACGGCUCACCAAGGCGACGAUACAUAGCCGACCUGAGAGGGUGAUCGGCCACACUGGGACUGAGACACGGCCCAGACUCCUACGGGAGGCAGCAGUAGGGAAUCUUCGGCAAUGGGGGCAACCCUGACCGAGCAACGCCGCGUGAGUGAAGAAGGUUUUCGGAUCGUAAAGCUCUGUUGUAAGAGAAGAACGAGUGUGAGAGUGGAAAGUUCACACUGUGACGGUAACUGACCAGAAAGGGACGGCUAACUACGUG
rnacentral:rRNA from 1 species